CACAAGGUCUUUAUAGAGACCAACAAAUAUAAACUCAAAGAUGUAGG
rfam:Balearica pavonina gibbericeps contig75634, whole genome shotgun sequence.